rnacentral:sRNA from 1 species
AUAAUAUGUAAUGCUAAAGACGCAGUAUUCUAGUUAAUAUAUUUAUUCCUAAAGGCGGGGCUAAAAAUCCGUUUAAGGGCAUAUCGAUGAAGCCUCUGGUUAUGGCAUGUGACGCCCAGUCAUGGGCUGUUGCUGGGGGAUAGGGAAAAGGGCGAUCCACAAUGGCAUGUGGGCGUUGACCCUUUUUCUGUGGAGGCUUACGUUUAAAAUGUGAACGCAUUUUAUGUAAGAUUAAACCUGUUAUGCGGUCAAAGUAGGCUGCGAACAGUGUAGCCUUCCUUGAGUAAAGAAAGGGAGGAAUGCUUAAGGGCAUGAAACCUUUUUUGCAAAAGAGGAUAGGGAAUGAAUAUAUUUUUAGGGAAAGCCCCUAGACUGUUGCAUGCAAGCAUGUUAAGGAUUACAGUAUGACUUUAAGGUGAUCUAGCUCCAUUUAUGGUGACAUAGUGGGAAUUUGAUUAAAGGGAAACCUCUAAUUUGGUGACAAAUUAGUACGAAUUCGGGAAAACCUGCUGGACCAUAUGCCAUAAAAUUUACUUAACAUGCUGUCUUUAGUUAUUUUUUACAU